UCCCCUCCAAUGAUGGUGCCUGGACUAUGACCUCUGCCUUUUCAUGUUUGAUUUUCCUCUGCUGCUGCUAGGUAUUGUUUUGGCUUUUGUUUAUACAGGGUGCAUACUCACAUAAUGCUCCUUGCUCUGAAACAUUUAGUUUGACGGCCAUAUUCUGUUUGUACAUGCAAUUAUUUCUAAUAUGUAAGCAUAUUUGUAGGAUCAUACAGUGGCAGACUACGCACUCUCUAUAGUUAGUAUAUUUACUUACAGUCUUGGAUACACUAAAUGAGAACAAAGUUUGGAUGUGUCAUUGUCUGCACUCAAAUAGUUUCCUGAUGAAUAUGACGGAGCUACAUCUCUUUGACUGAAGAAAAUGAGGACCAAGCUCUCAAGACAGUUUUGUGUCUUCCACAGCAGGGCAAUUGCCUGAAAGAACCAUAACGUCAGUCCAUGCAUUCAGUUGUCUGUGCAGCAGCCUGCCAGCUGUCAUUUGAUUUGUAAUAACAUUAAUGUGGUCAUGUAGGUUACACAUGUACUAAGAACUGGUUGACUAUGUAUGACCAUCAGGUGAACUAAUAUUUCCUAUUAUUUGUUCAUUUCAGCCGUUUCACUUUCGUUUGUUACAUGUAUGUACAGGUACAAUGUCAUUGUCAUAUUAAUACUAUCGACGUGUGUUUGGUUCGCUCUCCGGUAACGUAUUCGUUCUGGUAAAGAGAAGCACCGGUUUCCAAUGUUUUCUCACUGAAUACAUGUUUUGUUUCCAAUGUUUUCUCACCGAAUACAUGUUUUGUUUGGUUGAGCGUCCAACCUCCGUUUUCCUAAUCAGCUCCGGUCCGGCUGUUUUCGGUUUUGCGAAGCCACGCGUCGUAUGUGUCUACCAUGUGCCAUGUACAUUUGUGCACGUCGUAAAACCUCGAUAGAAGCAAAGAACUUUGCCAAAAAAGAAAAAGAAAA
rnacentral:lncRNA from 1 species